GACGAACGCUGGCGGCGUGCUUAACACAUGCAAGUCGAACGGAAAGGCCCUGCUUUUGUGGGGUGCUCGAGUGGCGAACGGGUGAGUAACACGUGAGUAACCGGCCCUUGACUUUGGGAUAACUUCAGGAAACUGGGGCUAAUACCGUAUAGGAGCUCCUGCUGCAUGGUGGGGGUUGGAAAGUUUCGGCGGUUGGGGAUGGACUCGCGGCUUAUCAGCUUGUUGGUGGGGUAGUGGCUUACCCAGGCUUUGACGGGUAGCCGGCCUGAGAGGGUGACCGGGGACCUUGGGACUGAGGUACGGACCAGACUCCUACGGGAGGCAGCAGUGGGGAAUAUUGCACAAUGGGCGGAAGCCUGAUGCAGCAACGCCGCGUGCGGGAUGACGGCCUUCGGGUUGUAAACCGCUUUCGCCUGUGACGAAGCGUGAGUGACGGUAAUGGGUAAAGAAGCACCGGCUAACUACGUG
rnacentral:rRNA from 1 species